AGCGAACGCUGGCGGCAGGCCUAACACAUGCAAGUCGAACGAACCUUUCGGGGUUAGUGGCGGACGGGUGAGUAACACGUGGGAACGUGCCUUUAGGUUCGGAAUAACUCAGGGAAACUUGUGCUAAUACAGAAUGUGCCCUUCGGGGGAAAGAUUUAUCGCCUUUAGAGCGGCCCGCGUCUGAUUAGCUAGUUGGUUGAGGUAAUGGCUCACCAAGGCGACGAUCAGUAGCUGGUCUGAGAGGAUGAUCAGCCACAUUGGGACUGAGACACGGCCCAAACUCCUACGGGAGGCAGCAGUGGGGAAUCUUGCGCAAUGGGCGAAAGCCUGACGCAGCCAUGCCGCGUGAAUGAUGAAGGUCUUAGGAUUGUAAAAUUCUUUCACCGGGGACGAUAAUGACGGUACCCGGAGAAGAAGCCCCGGCUAACUUCGUG
rnacentral:rRNA from 1 species